CGGCGAACGGGUGAGUAACACGUGAGGAACCUGCCCCGAAGUCUGGGAUAACACCGGGAAACCGGUGCUAAUACCGGAUACCCCCACCUGACCGCAUGAUCGGGUGAGGAAAGAACUUCGCUUCAGGAGGGUCUCGCGGGCUAUCAGCUUGUUGGUGAGGUAACGGCUCACCAAGGCGACGACGGCUAGCUGGUCUGAGAGGACGACCAGCCACACUGGGACUGAGACACGGCCCAG
rnacentral:rRNA from 1 species